rnacentral:rRNA from 1 species
UGGGGAAUAUUGCACAAUGGGCGCAAGCCUGAUGCAGCCAUGCCGCGUGUAUGAAGAAGGCCUUCGGGUUGUAAAGUACUUUCAGCGGGGAGGAAGGGAGUAAAGUUAAUACCUUUGCUCAUUGACGUUACCCGCAGAAGAAGCACCGGCUAACUCCGUGCCAGCAGCCGCGGUAAUACGGAGGGUGCAGGCGUUAAUCGGAAUUACUGGGCGUAAAGCGCACGCAGGCGGUUGAUUGAGUCAGAUGUGAAAUCCCCGGGCUUAACCCGGGAAUUGCAUCUGAUACUGGUCAGCUAGAGUCUUGUAGAGGGGGGUAGAAUUCCAUGUGUAGCGGUGAAAUGCGUAGAGAUGUGGAGGAAUACCGGUGGCGAAGGCGGCCCCCUGGACGAAGACUGACGCUCAGGUGCGAAAGCGUGGGGAGCAAACAGG